AUUGGACCCAGAAGCUAGAUUUAUCAUUUUAGUCUGUAAGAUUGACAAUAAGUUCUUCACCUUGGUUAAUGUAUAUCUUCCCAAUGUAGACCCUAUGGCGAAAUUCUCAUUGGUAAUGGACAAAGUCGAUAAGAUUUCUAAGGGCUAUUUGAUCAUUGCAGGAGACUUCAAUUGUGUUAGUGAUCCCAAAUUAGAUAAAACUACUGUAUCUCCAUUUAUGAAUAAUAAAAGAUCUAUAAAGCAG